GGGCCUCCAUUCACCACUUCCCCAGUCGAGGUUGUUUUCUUAGCCUGAAUGACCUGAGACUUCUUCUGGGAUAGCAACUCUGGCUCCUGAUAGGCUACCCGAUUCAGAUCCACCACGCUGGCAACGCAACGUGGAACAGCCACUGUAAAAAAAAGAGACUUACCCCUCGCUGACAUUGAGGCCGUACUUCUGGAUGAAGUCGGUUGCUUCUUUGGCACUGCAGAACAUCAACAUCCGAACGAUGUCGUCCACAGGAAAAGCAGUUGAGCGCGGACCCACAGUGUGAGCAGUGUUCAAGGUCUUCAAUGCCUUUGCUCGGACCUGCACGUUGUUUUUCAAAGUAAAUGCAAUGGACGGUUGCACCUCGAGAACAUUUUCUAUUUGUCUUUGAUAGUCCUACGUAAGAAGCAAGUGAAGGUGCAUCUCUGUCACUUGACUAAAAAUGGUGAUUGGACGACAAAAGAAUGACCUGAUUGAAAUAUCUGUGGAGGAGGCAACUGGCCAGGUAGGAUGCCCUUUUCACCAGCUUGAAGAAGCGCACAAAGUUGUUGCUGUUGAGAGCGGCAAAAGCCUGCACGGCAAAAUGCACUUCGGGGGAGUUGCGCACUUCGUCCCGGAACUGUUGGACCUCACUGCCGCGGGUAAAAGGGGGAGUUACGAUCCAGUAUAGCUUAUGUAUGCGUAUAGCGUGGCGCACUGAGGCUCACCGCAGGAUGUCGCCGUCGUUGAGCUUCAACAGGACACUGUACUGGCGGAACUCAGCCUCGCGGGGGCACAAGACGUGACGGCCCUCCAGGUCCUCGUACAUCUCUUUCAGGCUUUGCAAGCACUUUGUCAAGUUCUCGUUGUUGAUCUUGACUUCAAAAACGGACAUUGGCUCUUCGCAGAGAUGGUGGGCGCAGUGUAAGUGGAAGCGUGUGCACUUCUCGAUCAGUGACACGGUGUGCGGGCAGCACAAACGCUGCUGGGUGAUGUCCUGUGGCAAACGUUGGAAUUAGUCAACGCGAUAUUCAUCAACAGUCCGACCGACCGGCUGGAUGGUUGCUACCUUUCGGAUAGCCCGGGUCCUGUUCCAGACAAAAUCGUACCAAUCCCGCAAGCUGUCGUGACCUUGGUCCAUGAUCUGAGUGACCAGAUAGUCCAUGGUCAUGGCGAGUACCGGCAAGGGGCGUAACUCGUGAGGAAGGGGCUCCUCCUGGUCAGCGGAUGAACGACUGUACUCUUUGAUGGCUGCUCCGUGAUCCACCUGGAUAGUUGUCGAUUCCGAUUUUGAACAAACGAUGAUGAUGAUAAGCCCCGGACGCAAAGAGCAGACUGCAAACAAUAUUAUCCAUCGUAUCCUGAUCAAAUAUAGCAAACGGUACCAUCUCUGUGUUGGGGAGGACUUCGUAUAUGCUGAGCUGAUUUCUUGUUUCCCUCAUGUAUCUCUCCUUCUCAGGACACAUGUCAGGACACGUUCCUACGAAGACCUUGGAGAGGUCCAUGUCCGUACUUUUGGGCCGACCUGAGGACAUCAUUCAAGAGUAUGUUUGUGAAGCUUAAAGAAGAGUCCAAGUCUGCUUUAGUGUCAAUUUCUUCACAUGCCACAAAGAGAUGGAAAUGACGUUCCCGCAAUUAGCCACGGAGGCUAAUGAGAAGUCGGUGACAAACCGAAAGCGUGCGUACCUUGUCGCAAAAUCUUGUCCCUCUGCUCUAGAAGCCGGUACUUGUCCUCCGUCGUCUCUGCCGUGACGCCGAUGAGGGGCGCGAGGCACUCCGAGAGCUGAGUCGUGGUGACGUUCUCCUUCGGAAGUUCCGAGUCAAGCUGGAGAGUUACCGCUGGCCUCUUCGACGGUGAGUUACUAGGCACACAAAGUAUCAGCGCUCUCUGCUGUGAUAACAAGCCUUCUCUAUUGUCCUUUACCUGCGGGUAAAGGUGUCGCCAAGUACGGGUCGUUUGAAAGCCUUGAAAUGAGCAGCCUCGUUGCCCUUCUCCGCUGCUUUUUUCCCCACGGCUCUUCUGCUUUUAUCCCCUGGACCUGACAAGCGGACACAAAGCAUUUCAGGUGUGGAGCAGAAAUGUUGAGCAAUGUCGCUGCUCGGUGCCUACUUAAGAAUUGAGUCGCGCUUUGCUUCUUUCGCUGCCACAAAAGGAGGAGUUCUUGCUGAUGCAGGAGCUUGCCGUUCUUCUUUGCCUUGGCUGCAGAUGCCUGCCAGAAAGAAUGCACAUAUUUAAAAAAAAAACUCAGCUGUGGUCACUUCUUUCGAUACUUUUGUCUGUCAACAGAUGAACAAACAAAGAGACUCACGUGGCUUUCAAAGUGCACCAUGGCUAAUCCCUUGGAAGGCCGGCAUUGGAGCUUGCUCACGUUGCCAAAUUGAGAGAAAUGCUUCUCAAUGAUGUUCUUUUUGUUGAGGGCCGCCGGGAUGUUCCUGCACUGAAGGACGGUCCAGUCAGUGGGAGACGUCCCGCUCUCGCCGUCCAAGCUCUCGCCGUCCAAGCUCUCGCUCCGCGCGCCAGUUCUCCUUGGCGUCUUGCUUUCGCCCAUCGCUUCUCGGGGGUCUUGCAAGUCUACAAAAAGAGAGGGGACACCCAGUGUGAACGCUCACCUGACUCUUGGGCUUUUUCCACUACCUCAGUGCUCAUGGUUUGUACGGCCGAUGUGCUAGGAGUCGCAUGUUCACGCGUCACUUGGGGAUGCUGGCUCGUCAACUCCUCCAGCUGGGCUUUCUGCUGCAGAGGUUCCUUUCCCUCUUGUUGGACCGAAGUGGUGGCAGCUUUUCGCAAUCCGCUCAGCGCUCUGCUGAAGAGCCCCGCAGUGGGCCGAGUUCUCAUGAGAGGUCUUUUGGGGGGCUGCCUGGGUGAAGAGGAGUCCGUUGUUUCGGCCUCCUCCGCAAUAGCUUGCGGCGCUGCUGCAGCAUUGGGCGCACUCGUUGCCGGGUCUUCUUCUUUACGUUUGGUGCCUUUUCUAAACGGCGCAAAUACAUUGGCGUCUCCACCCUGGCUCCUUUGACCGGGCUCCGCUUUGGAUUGAUUGUCGCUGAAAGCGGAGGGCUGAAUGAUUGCGUUUCCACCAAAGAGUUGGGCCGUCUGCGCUUGGAGGGGUUUGGUUGAAAAGCUAAAAGUGGAUGGUGUUUUAGGCUGGCCCAUUGGAGCAUUGGUGUUGGAAGUGGAGGGCGCGGCGGCAGGCUGGGAAAAGGUGAAUUGCAGAGCACUGGAAGGGCCGCUGUUACUGACGCCGCUUGUUACUGGGUUGUUUUGGAGCGGAAGGGAUGGAGCAGCAGCAGGCUGAGAGAAACUAAAGCCCAAUGAUCCCAAUUUUGCCCCAGAGAAGCCAGUGAUGGUGCUGCUGCUGCUACCAGCAGUGCCGGAACUCGUCUUCUCUGUGGUGCUACCAAAAGGAGGUAAGGUGGACAGCGGCGUGGUUUGAGGGUGACUGGGUUCAGGACUGCCACUGUAGAUUGGUUUGAAAAGAACUUCACUGGCUGGCUUGAAACUGAAUUCAGAUCCAAAUCCUCUGCUCUGGGUCGGAGUCGUACCAAACACACUACCGGCAGCGGUGGUACUUG